UACGUAGGGUGCAAGCGUUGUCCGGAAUUAUUGGGCGUAAAGAGCGUGUAGGCGGCCCGAUUAGUCCGCUGCGAAAGUCCAGGGCUCAACCCUGGAAUGCCGGUGGAUACUGUGGGGCUAGAGUCCGGAAGGGGCGAGUGGAAUUCCUGGUGUAGCGGUGAAAUGCGCAGAUAUCAGGAGGAACACCAAUGGCGAAGGCAGCUCGCUGGGACGUGACUGACGCUGAGACGCGAAAGCGUGGGGAGCAAACAGG
rnacentral:rRNA from 1 species